rnacentral:tRNA from 2 species
CAAAGAAUAAUUUAAUUUAAAAAUACUAGCUUUGGGGGCUAGUAAUAGAGAUUCUAAUUCUCUUUCUUUGA